UCUUGGCUUGAAAGGGGAUGAUUCUUUCUGCACAGAAGAGGACCAAAAAAGAUAAGAGAUGCUAACAGAAUAGAGAAAGGAUGUGACUAUGAAGCAGAGAAGUGAAGAGGAUUUAACACAAACACUGAAAUAUUCCAUACCUCUAAACAUGUACUCCAUACUUUAAAGAGACCUUAUACAAUUCACAUGGAUAUAAUCCAUCCUUCCUUAAUCUGAACCCCAGCUGACUUUGAGGUUUGCAACCUGUUGGUGUUUCUACUGCAUGGG
rnacentral:lncRNA from 1 species